ensembl:lncRNA
UCAGACUGUUCUUGGAGCUAUCCAGUGUGAAAGCUAUGGAUUUCAAACUUUCUUCGCUAAUAGAAUUGGAGAGAUCCAAGAGAGCACACGGCUACAGGACUGGUGGUGGUUCCCUGGACCACUCAACAUAGCCGACAUUACUCGAGGAGCUGGGCCAAAGGAACUUGAUGCCCAUUCAGAGUGGCAGCAAGGGCCAGAGUUUCUUCAUCUUCCAGAGAGCGAGUGGCCAAUUAUGUCUUCAAAAGAUGUGUCUGCGACAGCUUGAGAAAGCAUUAACAAUAUGCAAAAGAAGUCAUUCGUGGCAGCACUCACCAGAGCCCAAGCGAAAAGAAGUCUUCCAAGUCUUGCGGGACGACUUCCUGCUGGUGCAGCUGUCCUAAACUUGGUGGAUGAGAGGCACUUUAGUAGCCUAAAGUGUCUAAUCAAGACUGUUGCUUUUAUCUGGAGAGCCGCCAAAAAGUUUAUAUCUGCAACAAAGUCCAUUGAGACCCCAAAGUGGGAGGUGAUUCCCACAAAAGGAGUUAUCACCGCCGCAGAACGUCAAGAGGCUAUAAGAGACAUCUAUCUUGCUGCUCAAGAGGGGGUAACGUUUCCAGCUACCACUACAGACCGCUUGGUUGUGUACAGAGAGCCAGAAUCUGGGUUACUAGUCUGCGGUGGGAGAAUCCAUGGCUUCAGGGAGGAUGGCGGUGCAGUUCCCCUUCUGGCUUUCAAUGCAUGGGUCUCUACUUUAUUGGCACGGGAGGCGCACGAUGAGGGUCAUGAAGGCGUGGCUGCAACCUUGCUAAAAAUGAGGAGGAAAACCUGGGUCGUCCAAGGGAGGAAAAUUGCCCAAAACGUAGUGGAGAACUGCCUUUUCUGCAAAAAGUCAAGAGCAAGAAGGUGCAAACAGGUAAUGGCUGACCUACCUCCUGAAAGAGCCACACCUGCAGCUCCGUUUGAGUUCACUACAGUCGACCUCUUUGGACCAUACCUUGUCAAAGAUGACAUCAAGAAACGGGUCUCAAUGAAAGUGUGGGGUGUCGUCUUCAGUUGUAUGGCCAGCAGGGCAAUUUAUGCAGACCUGGUCAACACAGUGUCGACAGAGAGCUUCUUGGUGGCUUACCAACGCUUUACUGCAAUGAAAGGGCACCCAAGAAAGAUCUGGUCCGACCCGGGGACAAACUUCAUCGGCGCCAAACCUGUCCUAAGAGAGCUCUACCAGUUCCUGGAUGCUCAGAAUAGAACUUCAAUAGAAGAGAUGUCGGCUCAAAAAGGUACCAAAUGGGAGUGGACAAUUCACCCUGCUGAC